AACGAACGCUGGCGGCAGGCUUAACACAUGCAAGUCGAACGCUCGUAGCAAUACGGGAGUGGCGGACGGGUGAGUAACGCGUGGGAACGUGCCCUGAGGUACGGAAUAACUGAGGGAAACUUCAGCUAAUACCGUAUGAGCCCCGAGAGGGGGAAAGAUUUAUCGCCUUGGGAGCGGCCCGCGUCGGAUUAGCUAGUUGGUGGGGUAACGGCCUACCAAGGCUUCGAUCCGUAGCUGGUCUGAGAGGACGAUCAGCCACACUGGGACUGAGACACGGCCCAGACUCCUACGGGAGGCAGCAGUAGGGAAUCUUCCGCAAUGGACGAAAGUCUGACGGAGCAACGCCGCGUGAGUGAUGAAGGUUUUCGGAUCGUAAAACUCUGUUGUUAGGGAAGAACAAGUGCCGUUCGAAAGGGCGGCACCUUGACGGUACCUAACGAGAAAGCCACGGCUAACUACGUGCCAGCAGCCGCGGUAAAGUACAGUGU
rnacentral:rRNA from 1 species